rnacentral:rRNA from 1 species
AUUGAACGCUGGCGGCAUGCUUUACACAUGCAAGUCGAACGGUAACAGGUCUUCGGAUGCUGACGAGUGGCGAACGGGUGAGUAAUACAUCGGAACGUGCCUAGUAGUGGGGGAUAACUACUCGAAAGAGUAGCUAAUACCGCAUGAGAUCUACGGAUGAAAGCCGGGGACCUUCGGGCCUUGUGCUACUAGAGCGGCUGAUGGCAGAUUAGGUAGUUGGUGGGGUAAAGGCUUACCAAGCCUGCGAUCUGUAGCUGGUCUGAGAGGACGACCAGCCACACUGGGACUGAGACACGGCCCAGACUCCUACGGGAGGCAGCAGUGGGGAAUUUUGGACAAUGGGCGAAAGCCUGAUCCAGCAAUGCCGCGUGCAGGAUGAAGGCCCUCGGGUUGUAAACUGCUUUUGUACGGAACGAAAAGCCUGGGGCUAAUAUCCCCGGGUCAUGACGGUACCGUAAGAAUAAGCACCGGCUAACUACGUG